CAGUAGCCGCGGGAAUACAGAGGAUGCAAGCGUUAUCCGGAAUGAUUGGGCGUAAAGGGUGCGUAGGCGGCUUGACAAGUCUUGUGUGAAAUCUAUGGGCUCAACCCUUAGUCUGCACGGGAAACUGUCGGGCUUGAGAAUGGGAGAGGUGAGUGGAAUUUCCGGUGUAGCGGUGAAAUGCGUAGAUAUCGGAAGGAACACCUGUGGCGAAAGCGGCUCACUGGACCAUUUCUGACGCUGAUGCACGAAAGCUAGGGGAGCAAACAGGAUUAGAUACCCCGGUAGUCCCUGUCUCUUAUAC
rnacentral:rRNA from 1 species